AAUGAGGCCAGCUGGGGAGGGCAGCUAUAAAGGGGCAGCUGGGAGGGAGCUGCUGGGGAGCCAGAGCUCAGGCACAGGGAGAUGAUGGGGUCUCAGGCUCAGCUGUUCUGCCUCCUGCUUCUCUGGGUCCCAGGUUCCAGAGGGGCCAUUGAGCUGACCCAGUCUCCAUCCUCCCUGGCUGUGUCUCCCGGAGAGAGGGUCACCCUGUCCUGCAGGGCCAGUCAGAGUGUUAGUAAUUACAUAGACUGGUACCAACAGCGCCCAGGCCAGUCUCCCAGGCUCCUCAUUUACAAGGCUUCCAACCUACACUCUGGGGUCCCUGCCCGGUUCAGUGGCAGUGGCUCUGGGACAGAUUUCUCUCUUACCAUCAGUGCUGUGGAACCAGAGGACAUCGCAGACUAUUACUGUCUACAGUGGGAUAACUGGCCUCUCACAGUGAUUCAGCUCUGAACAAAAACCUGCCCAGGCAGCUGCUGAGGGAGCCCCCACUGUCCCAGGGGCUCCUCCUCCCCCCACAGCUGGGACAGCUUGUCUGGGUUGCCUGUGAGGGCAGUUUGUAGGUCUCACAGGAGGCUGCUGGGACUGGGAUGGAUGCUGAGCCUCAUCUUUUCCCCAUCAACACUCAUGGAGUGGCGCCUCCUCAAACAUUGGAUGUCACCCCAAAGAACUGGAAAGACCUUCAUGAUCUGAUGCGGUAUGCAAUGAGCAGAAACAGGAGAACAUUUCACACAGUGACUGAAAUGCUGUGAGAUGAUCAAAUGUAACAGACAUUUCUACUAGCAGCAACUCAAUGAUCCAGGGCAAUCCCAAGAGACUGAUGAGAAAGAACGCUCUCCACAUCCAGAGAAAGAACUGUAGGAGUUGAAACACAGAAGAAAAAUAUGAUUGUUCAUGUGGUUCAAUGGAAAUAGUCUUGGGGGUUUGGCUUCUAAUGAUCACUCUAUUGCAAAUAUUAAUAAUAUGAAAAUCAGUUUUAAACAUGUAAAACCCAGUGGAAUUGCUUGUCAGCUCCAGAAGUGGGGAGUGAAGAGGG